rnacentral:rRNA from 1 species
UGACUGCGUACCUUUUGUAUAAUGGGUCAGCGACUUAUAUUCUGUAGCAAGGUUAACCGUAUAGGGGAGCCGAAGGGAAACCGAGUCUUAACUGGGCGUUAAGUUGCAGGGUAUAGACCCGAAACCCGGUGAUCUAGCCAUGGGCAGGUUGAAGGUUGGGUAACACUAACUGGAGGACCGAACCGACUAAUGUUGAAAAAUUAGCGGAUGACCUGUGGCUGGGGGUGAAAGGCCAAUCAAACCGGGAGAUAGCUGGUUCUCCCCGAAAGCUAUUUAGGUAGCGCCUCGUGAACUCAUCUUCGGGGGUAGAGCACUGUUUCGGCUAGGGGGCCAUCCCGGCUUACCAACCCGAUGCAAACUACGAAUACCGAAGAAUGUUAUCACGGGAGACACACGGCGGGUGCUAACGUCCGUCGUGAAGAGGGAAACAACCCAGACCGCCAGCUAAGGUCCCAAAGUCAUGGUUAAGUGGGAAACGAUGUGGGAAGGCACAGACAGCCAGGAUGUUGGCUUAGAAGCAGCCAUCAUUUAAAGAAAGCGUAAUAGCUCACUGGUCGAGUCGGCCUGCGCGGAAGAUGUAACGGGGCUAAACCAUGCACCGAAGCUGCGGCAGCGACGCUUAUGCGUUGUUGGGUAGGGGAGCGUUCUGUAAGCCGUUGAAGGUGUGCUGUGAGGCAUGCUGGAGGUAUCAGAAGUGCGAAUGCUGACAUAAGUAACGAUAAAGCGGGUGAAAAGCCCGCUCGCCGGAAGACCAAGGGUUCCUGUCCAACGUUAAUCGGGGCAGGGUGAGUCGACCCCUAAGGCGAGGCCGAAAGGCGUAGUCGAUGGGAAACAGGUUAAUAUUCCUGUACUUGGUGUUACUGCGAAGGGGGGACGGAGAAGGCUAUGUCAGCCGGGCGACGGUUGUCCCGGUUUAAGCAUGUAGGCGGAGGUUCCAGGUAAAUCCGGUACCUUUUAACGCUGAGGUGUGAUGACGAGGCACUACGGUGCUGAAGUGAUAAAUGCCCUGCUUCCAGGAAAAGCCUCUAAGCAUCAGGUAACACGAAAUCGUACCCCAAACCGACACAGGUGGUCAGGUAGAGAAUACCAAGGCGCUUGAGAGAACUCGGGUGAAGGAACUAGGCAAAAUGGUGCCGUAACUUCGGGAGAAGGCACGCUGAUAGGUAGGUGAAGCCCCUGCGGGCGGAGCUGAAAUCAGUCGAAGAUACCAGCUGGCUGCAACUGUUUAUUAAAAACACAGCACUGUGCAAACACGAAAGUGGACGUAUACGGUGUGACGCCUGCCCGGUGCCGGAAGGUUAAUUGAUGGGGUUAGCGGCAACGCGAAGCUCUUGAUCGAAGCCCCGGUAAACGGCGGCCGUAACUAUAACGGUCCUAAGGUAGCGAAAUUCCUUGUCGGGUAAGUUCCGACCUGCACGAAUGGCGUAAUGAUGGCCAGGCUGUCUCCACCCGAGACUCAGUGAAAUUGAACUCGCUGUGAAGAUGCAGUGUACCCGCGGCAAGACGGAAAGACCCCGUGAACCUUUACUAUAGCUUGACACUGAACACUGGUCCUUGAUGUGUAGGAUAGGUGGGAGGCUUUGAAGCGUGGACGCCAGUCUGCGUGGAGCCGUCCUUGAAAUACCACCCUUUAAUGGCUGGUGUUCUAACGUAGACCCGUGAUCCGGGUUGCGGACAGUGUCUGGUGGGUAGUUUGACUGGGGCGGUCUCCUCCCAAAGAGUAACGGAGGAGCACGAAGGUUGGCUAAUCCUGGUCGGACAUCAGGAGGUUAGUGCAAUGGCAUAAGCCAGCUUGACUGCGAGCGUGACGGCGCGAGCAGGUGCGAAAGCAGGUCAUAGUGAUCCGGUGGUUCUGAAUGGAAGGGCCAUCGCUCAACGGAUAAAAGGUACUCCGGGGAUAACAGGCUGAUACCGCCCAAGAGUUCAUAUCGACGGCGGUGUUUGGCACCUCGAUGUCGGCUCAUCACAUCCUGGGGCUGAAGUAGGUCCCAAGGGUAUGGCUGUUCGCCAUUUAAAGUGGUACGCGAGCUGGGUUUAGAACGUCGUGAGACAGUUCGGUCCCUAUCUGCCGUGGGCGCUGGAGAAUUGAGGGGGGCUGCUCCUAGUACGAGAGGACCGGAGUGGACGCAUCACUGGUGUUCGGGUUGUCAUGCCAAUGGCACUGCCCGGUAGCUAAAUGCGGAAGAGAUAAGUGCUGAAAGCAUCUAAGCACGAAACUUGCCCCGAGAUGAGUUCUCCCUGAGACUUUAAGUCUCCUGAAGGAACGUUGAAGACGACGACGUUGAUAGGUCGGGUGUGUAAGCGCAGCGAUGCGUUGAGCUAACCGAUACUAAUGAACCGUGAGGCUUAACC